rnacentral:rRNA from 1 species
UACGAAGGGGGCUAGCGUUGCUCGGAAUCACUGGGCGUAAAGCGCACGUAGGCGGCUUUUUAAGUCAGAGGUGAAAUCCUGGAGCUCAACUCCAGAACUGCCUUUGAUACUGGAGAGCUUGAGUCCGGGAGAGGUGUGUGGAACUCCGAGUGUAGAGGUGAAAUUCGUAGAUAUUCGGAAGAACACCAGUGGCGAAGGCGACACACUGGCCCGUUACUGACGCUGAGGCGCGAAAGCGUGGGGAGCAAACAGG